GACCCGUCUUGAAACACGGACCAAGGAGUGUACCUAAUAUGCGAGUGUUUGGGUGUUAAACCCAUACGCGUAAUGAAAGUGAACGGAGGUGAGAGCCCUUAAGGGUGCAUCAUCGACCGAUCCUGAUGUCUUCGGAUGGAUUUGAGUAAGAGCAUAUUGGGUGCGACCCGAAAGAUGGUGAUCUAUACGUGAAUAGGGUGAAGCCAGAGGAAACUCUGGUGGAGGCUCGCAGCGGUUCUGACGUGCAAAUCGAUCGUCAAAUUUGCGUAUAGGGGCGAAAGACUAAUCGAACCAUCUAGUAGCUGGUACCGUCCG
rnacentral:rRNA from 1 species